UCAGUAGUCCUGUUCUCUCUCUACUAGUGAAAGGGAUAUGAUCCAAAAAAAAACAUUUUUGACAAAUAUGCUGGCCACAGCUUAUUAGUCAUUCAUAAAAUAGUAUUUUGUCCUAUUAUUGGUUUUCCCUAAAAUCUUAAAGUGUUUGUUCGGUUUCCCAUGUUGAUGGGAUAGCUCUAGGCAGACUGGGCAUUCUGGGAUUUGUAGUUUUGCAACAGCUGGAGAGCUGCAGUUUGCCCAUCCCUGGGAUAGGUCAUCAGUAUUGGACACUGAACAACCCCUUUAAAAUUGGUUGCAAUAGAGCAAUAUGGUAGUUAUGACAAAGGGUUAGUAAGGCCUUUUAUGACUGCACAUAAGCGAUUCAUGCCACAUUCAUUUGGUGUGGGGUAUAAAGUUAAUGCAACUUUUGAACAAAAAAAAAAUAAAUGAAAAAUAAUAAAUAGAAUUCAUAUACUAUUGAAGAUAGAUUUGAAGGUCUCCUAUUUGGUGGAUGAGAUCCUGGUGAAGAUAUCGUAGUCAUUGAAUAUGAACCGUUUCCUAGUCACGUCUUCACAGUACAGCAUUGACACCAGACAUCCAUUCCUCAGGUCGGCAAGGACACACAUACUUUU